rnacentral:rRNA from 1 species
GAUGAACGCUGGCGGCGUGCCUAGUACAUGCAAGUCGAGCGAACGGACGAGAAGCUUGCUUCUCUGAUGUUAGCGGCGGACGGGUGAGUAACACGUGGAUAACCUACCUAUAAGACUGGGAUAACUUUGGGAAACCGGAGCUAAUACCGGAUAAUAUUUUGAACCGCAUGGUUCAAAAGUGAAAGACGGUAUUGCUGUCACUUAUAGAUGGAUCAGCGCUGCAUUAGCUAGUUGGUAAGGUAACGGCUUACCAAGGCAACGAGGCAUAGCCGACCUGAGAGGGUGAUCGGCCACACUGGAACUGAGACACGGUCCAGACUCCUACGGGAGGCAGCAGUAGGGAAUCUUCCGCAAUGGGCGAAUGCCUGACGGAGCAACGCCGCGUGAGUGAUGAAGGUCUUCUGAUCGUAAAACUCUGUUAUUAGGGAAGAACAUAUGUGUAAGUAACUGUGCUCAUCUUGACGGUACCUAAUCAGAAAGCCACGGCUAACUACGUG